AUUGAACGCUGGCGGCAGGCCUAACACAUGCAAGUCGAGCGGCAGCGGGAAAGUAGCUUGCUACUUUUGCCGGCGAGCGGCGGACGGGUGAGUAAUGCCUGGGGAUCUGCCCAAUCGAGGGGGAUAACUACUGGAAACGGUAGCUAAUACCGCAUACGCCCUACGGGGGAAAGCAGGGGACCUUCGGGCCUUGCGCGAUUGGAUGAACCCAGGUGGGAUUAGCUAGUUGGUGAGGUAAUGGCUCACCAAGGCGACGAUCCCUAGCUGGUCUGAGAGGAUGAACAGCCACACUGGAACUGAGACACGGUCCAGACUCCUAUGGGAGGCAGCAGUGGGGAGUAUUGCACAAUGGGGGAAACCCUGAUGCAGCCAUGCCGCGUGUGUGAAGAAGGCCUUCGGGUUGUAAAGCACUUUCAGCGAGGAGGAAAGGUUGGUAGCUAAUAACUGCCAGCUGUGACGUUACUCGCAGAAGAAGCACCGGCUAACUCCGUGCCAGCAGCCGCCGUAA
rnacentral:rRNA from 1 species